GACGUAGGGUGCGAGCGUUGUCCGGAUUUAUUGGGCGUAAAGAGCUCGUAGGCGGUUUGUCGCGUCUGCUGUGAAAUCCCGAGGCUCAACCUCGGGCCUGCAGUGGGUACGGGCAGACUAGAGUGCGGUAGGGGAGAUUGGAAUUCCUGGUGUAGCGGUGGAAUGCGCAGAUAUCAGGAGGAACACCGAUGGCGAAGGCAGAUCUCUGGGCCGUAACUGACGCUGAGGAGCGAAAGCGUGGGAGCGAACAGG
rnacentral:rRNA from 1 species